rnacentral:rRNA from 1 species
GGGAAACCGGAGCUAAUACCGGAUAACAUGUUGAACCGCAUGGUUCAACAGUGAAAGACGGUCUUGCUGUCACUUAUAGAUGGAUCCGCGCCGCAUUAGCUAGUUGGUAAGGUAACGGCUUACCAAGGCAACGAUGCGUAGCCGACCUGAGAGGGUGAUCGGCCACACUGGAACUGAGAUACGGCCCAG